GCAGUUAAUGCUCCUUCCGAGCGACCCUCUUGAUGCAAGGAAUAUAAUGCUUGAAGGUAUAUUAUUCUCUUACUUUGCCUUAUUGUCUUGAUUUGUUUGUAGAAUUUUCUGCUCUGCGGCUUAGUUUCAGAUUCAUGAACUCCAAGCAAUAAUUAAGUGAUCCAGAUAAUAAAAAAGUAAAAUAUUCAUCAGAACUUAAUGAGCAGAUGUAAAAACCACGAAGCUUUUCUUGAGAUAUUUAGAAGUGAAACAAAAGAUAAGGUUACAGACUCUUUUACUCCAUCUCACUAAAAUUAAUUGACCAUGACUGGUUUUCAAAGAGUUUAAGAGGAAAGUGUUUCAAAUCUGAGAAAGUGGCAAAGUUAAUGAAAAGAUUCACAUUAAAGUUGAGUUGAUAUAAAUUAAUACUAUUUAUAUUUUCUUAAAUUGUUGGAAGAAAAAACUUCUCCAAUAUAGGAGAUAGCUCAUAUUUUUGGUACGGGAUAAAAUGGGAAGUAAGUCAAUUGAAACAUGACUGGGUACUACAUGCUUCUUCGAGUAUCCCUUUUAAAUGGCCACUUUUUUUUUUGUUUGAGAAAGAUAACAUAAUGGCCACAUUUAGUUUUACAUUUAUAUUAUUGCUGAUUUGAUGAAAUCGAGCACAACAUACAUUGAUAGAAUCUAAUUGUCUGCAAGUCCUCUAAAAGUUGUCCAGCUUAUAAAUCUUUGGAUGUGGCAUGAUUACCACUAGCACAUCAGUAGCUACAAAUAUUGAAACUUAAGGGUUAGCCAGCAUGUGAUGUGUGUCUGCUCUAUGCUGCUUAAUUUUGAUUUCUGUCACUCCUAAUUGUUAAGUUAAGAUAUCUUUUUCACAAAAGCUUUAAUUCUGGGUAUGGGUGUCUUAACUCUUUUGUGUUGCAGUCAGGGCAGGUGCUGGUGGGGAUGAGGCUGGAAUUUGGGCUGGUGAUCUUGUAGGUACAUGUUCCUUUAGUCCUUCUGGAUUCUUUUAUAUAGAUCUGAUACUUUUUCAGAUACUGAAAAAAGAAAAGUUUAAUCUCUGUUCAUUCAACUCUUGGUACUUUUAACAGUGGCAUGAGAUAGACAGUACUAUCUUACCUUAUAACAUAUGGCCUUUAUGGGUCCAAAGUGCAAUACCUUACAGCUAAGAAAUAAAUAAAUGAGACUUUAAAUACCUGGUCACCAUUACAUUCCACCAAUCAAUAUAGAGUCCUUAAAGUGUUAUUUCAUCUGCUGAGCUAUGACAGAAGUGGUUAUUGCUUCCAAUAGCGUGAAAUGAAGAACCCAGAUCUGAUUGCUUGGCACACUUAUUUCUUCUUUGCUUUGACAUCAUUAGGUGCGUAUGUAUGAGAAAUACAGUGAACGGAACUCUUGGAAGUUUGCUCCAAUCUCUUGCUCCGAGGUAAAUAUGCACUAAAUUCUAAUUGACAUCUACUUUUUCAUUUUCUAAAAAGAAGUAAUUUCUUCCUCUAAUCUAUUUAACAUCUUUUUUUUUCAAGGCUGAAAAAGGAGGAUUCAAAACAUAUGUGAUGGAGAUCAAAGGCAACCGAGUCUAUAGUAAAUUGAAAUAUGAAUCUGGUGUUCAUCGAGUUCAACGUGUACCACUAACAGAAACUCAAGGCCGUGUUCACACUUCUACUGCAACAGUUGCUAUCAUGCCAGAGGUUAGUUAUCCACAUGUUCACUCAAAAUUAUCUCCUAUUUAGUCUAGCUCAAUAUGACCAUCUUUUUUAGUGAGAAUAUUGAAAACAACGUUGAACUUGGCGCAAAUUAUUAGUUUCGUCUCUAAACUAUUGACAGCCUUAAAAACACCCCUCUACUUGAUUAGCUAAACUUAAAUACACCCCUGAUCUGCCACAUAACAUAGCAAAUGGUCUCAAACUCUUGUAGGAGCAUGGAACUCUUAAUAAAAAGCAGAGAGAAGUGUUGAAAACACCCCUAAGGUUAGCGAGAAUUUAGGGGUGUAUUUCACUCAUAGUGCAAUAUCGAGGGUGUAUUUAAGUUCAAUUAGCGAAGUAAAGGAGUGCAUUUAAGGCAGUCAAUAGUUCGGGGAUGAAAAUAAUAAUUUGUGCGGAGUUUAGGAGUGUUUUCAAUAUUUCUCUUUUUUUUUAUGUAAUUGUACUAUCUGCAAGUUCAUCCCAAAUGUUGUAGCAAUCACAUAGCUUGCUGCAUCAUUUAAAUCACCAUGUACAGCUGAGUAGUUGUCGAUCACCAAACUUCCAAUUUUACCUAGAGUUUUCAUUAUGUUCUUUUGAUUGUUUUUCCCCAAGUAUCCCUAGGUCUUUUCAGUUCCCUGUUUUUCUGCAGCUGUUAUUUCUUUUGGUUUCAUCCUUGAUAUAUUUUAUGGUUUCAGGCUGAUGAAGUUGAUGUGGAAAUUGACCCGAAGGAUAUAGAACUAACAACAGCACGUUCUGGUGGUGCUGGAGGUACAUGAUGAUUCAACUCUUCAUGUUCUACUACAUUUCCCUAUACAUGAACUUCUUGUGCUUAUUGACAUGCAUAUAUUAAUGCAUGAUUAUGCUAUGCAGGGCAGAAUGUUAACAAGGUGGAGACUGCAGUUGAUCUUUACCAUAAACCAACAGGAAUUAGAAUCUUUUGUACUGAAGAAAGGAGUCAGCUUAAAAACAAGAAUCGGGCUUUCCAACUAUUGAGAGCAAAAUUGUAAGGGACAUUGAUUCAUAUAUAAGUAUUUUGCUUAAUGGAGUUACUGAACUUUAUUAUAUAGAAAUAAAAGAUAAAAAACAGAAUUGCUCAACUUAGAUAUGAAUGAAAUUAGUCCUAUGGAUUAGGUGAGAAGCCCUUGCUUGUAAGAUGACCUCUUCUGAGAGCAACUAGAUAGGUUUGCUUAAGAAAAUGAUAUACUUACUGAUGCGAACCUGAAGUACUGCUUUCUAGAUCCUAUAAAGAAAGUUUCUGGUGUUUGAACUGCCCACUAUGUCUGGUCACGGAUCCAUAAAUUAAAUUUAGGGGGUUCAGCUUUUAAGAUUUUCCACAUUGAACUCAUUGUACAGUUAAAAUUAUGGGUUCAAGUCUAAUAUUUGUUGAGAUUUUAGUAGGUUUUUACAUAUAUAUCUACACUCCAUAUUGAAAGUUAUGGGUUCAGGUGAACCUGUUGCCAAAAGGUUAUAUCCGCCCAUGUCUGGAUCUUUACUUCAAUUCUGCGAAAUAGUUUUGUUUGCAUGUCAAAAAAAUUCACUGCUUAGAACACCUUCUUUUGCUAGUUUAAGAGUGAAACAAACUUAAGUGAUUGCCCAUGUCAGAUAUGCUUUUCAUUAAGCAUGUGGUAUGUGUUCUUCAUAUCUAGAUAACCUUGCCAUAUAUAAUAGUGUGAACUAAAGAAACCUACGUGAUUAAGGAAGAAUCUGUUAGUAUUUGGCUAUGUUCUAUGACAAUGAUAAGCCCAUAGACUAACUUUCAAGUUUCCAAUGCAUCAAACAAUAAAGGUCUAUCAUGUUACCUGAUUAAAAAAAAACAAGAAAGGUCUGUUAUUGUUAGCCUUUUAUCCUUUAGGCAUGGUUGUGGUUUGACACUUCAUUUGCUUUUAUGGAAGUCAACAAGGUUAUGUGAUUUGGGGUUGUCAAAUUUUUUGUCACUGGCUGAUAGAGCCCGUGAUCGAUCUGUGAGAAAUAUAGGAAAAGAAUAUUAUUGAAUUGUUGUUGUGUCUACAUUAUUACAUUGAGACCCUAUUUAUAGACACUACAAUACAAUCCUUUACCAAGUAGGAUACUACUUACUAUUCCUAUUUCUGUUCCUAUUCAAUUCUAAAUAGGAUUGUAUAAACCUAUUCCUAUUCUACUAUGAUUGUAUAAACCUAUUCCUAUUCUAAUAGGAUUGUAUAAACCUAUUCAUAUUCUAACACUCCCCCUCAAGCUAGUGCAUACAAUUCAUGUACCUAGCUUGUUACAAAUGUAAUUAACACGAGGACCGAUGAGGGACUUGGUGAGAUAUCUGCAAGUUGAUCAGUCGACUUCACAAAAAUUGACAGUCAAUCUCAAUGUGCUUGUCUUCUCAUUAAAUACGAGAUUUGAUGCAUAAUGUCAGUCAAUAUCAAUGUGCUUGUCUUCUCAUUAAAUACUGGAUUUGAUGCAUAAUACCGAUAAAACACCGAGUGAUAAAAUUCCAGUGUUGAGCUUCCCAAACCAAACUUGCAAUGACUAACUCACAAAAUCGACAUACAAGGCUACUAAACUCCCCCUGAGCAACAAAGUGCUCAAAACCUAGUAUAAAGUAUAUGGAUCAUGUUGGAAUCAAUAGAUGAGUCGAUAUUAAACAAGAAAGUCACUGAAAAAUUGGUCGGAAAAUGCUCAUAUGCAGGAGUAUAGAUUUGAUGGCUAAAAGUAGUCACAAUCUAAAAAGUAGUCACCGGAAUGAUGGCUUGGUGCUACAUAAAUUAUAUAUGAAAAAGUAGUCACCGGAAUGAUGGCACGGUGCUACAAAAAUUAAAUAUGAAAAGUAGUCACCGGAAUUAUGGCACGGUGCUACACAAAUUAGAUAUAAGAAAGUAGUCACCGGAAUGAUGGCUUGGUGCUACAUAAAUUAUAUAUGAAAAAGUAGUCACCGGAAUGAUGGCACGAUGCUACAUAAAUUAUAUAUAUGAAAAAGUAGUCACCGGAAUGAUGGCACGAUGCUACAUAAAUUAUAUAUAUGAAAAAGUAGUCACCGGAAUGAUGGCACGGUGCUACAAAAAUUAAAUAUGAAAAGUAGUCACCGGAAUUAUGGCACGGUGCUACACAAAUUAGAUAUAAGAAAGUAGUCACCGGAAUGAUGGCUUGGUGCUACAUAAAUUAUAUAUGAAAAAGUAGUCACCGAAAAGAUGGAGCGGUGCUACACAAAUACCAACGGAUAUGGGGUUGACACAAAACAGCCCUAGAAAGUCACCGAAAAUUGAUGCAUGGUGACCUGUCUGACUAAGUUUCUUCCCUUGAACAUGGGGUUCAUGCAUGUAUCAUUUGUCCUACUUUUAUUAACAUAAUCAUUGGCCAGAUGGGCGGCAUAUAUUGGUAAUAGCCACCCGCCAGCAGCGGAAACUCUUUGAUUUUCUACCAAGAUCGUAGAGGCUCUGAUACCAUGUGAGAAAUAUAGGAAAAGAAUAUUAUUGAAUUGUUGUUGUGUCUACAUUAUUACAUUGAGACCCUAUUUAUAGACACUACAAUACAAUCCUUUACCAAGUAGGAUACUACUUACUAUUCCUAUUUCUAUUCCUAUUCAAUUCUAAAUAGGAUUGUAUAAACCUAUUCCUAUUCUACUAUGAUUGUAUAAACCUAUUCCUAUUCUAAUAGAAUUGUAUAAACCUAUUCAUAUUCUAACAAUCAAUCAAGACAAUCACUGGAAGGAAACUUGUCCAAGAGCUGAUGACCCCUCUGUGUCAUCCCUUUUCUAGUUGAUCUUCACCAUUUGACAAUUUCUAUGAUGGUCAUAUGCAUAUAUGAAUCUCUACAUAAUUUUACUUGCAAUGAAAUAUGUCAUUAGUUUCAGACUGCACUAUCUGCUAGUGAACUAGAACCAAAAUCUUAUGGGUCCUAAAAUUCACCGGAAUAAUUGUCUAGGCUGAAGAGCCAUGGACAGUCUACAUAGUUCCAUGUAUGUAUCAUCUUUAUACAUUGGUACAUUCAUGUUAUUUCACUACUAUGUAUGUAUUUUCUUUAUACUAACACAAGGUGAUAUUUAUGUAAAUUUUUACUAUGGCCAUAACUUCUGGAAUUACUAUUAUCUGUGCAUGGAUAUGACUUGUGACGUUCUUCCAGGUAUGAGAUUAAGGUGAGGGAGCAGCAGGAGUCCAUAAGAAAUCAGAGAAAAUUACAGGUAAGAUAACUAAACCUUCAUAUCGUUGAACUAGCCUACUCAAAAUGCAGUAGGAAGGGGACACUCAAAUCAACAUGGUUGGCACCAUAUUUUUUAUGUUCUCUUUUAAGGGAAAAUGCAUAAAUUUCCCCUUGAACUUGUCCCGAAAAGUCAAUUACACGCUCAAACUAUCAUAGUGACCUAUUACACACCUAUACUAUUCAGUUUGAAAUUAAAGUAAAAAAAGAAGAAGUUAGAAUCCUCUUUUCCACCCCCCACCCCCCACACCUCUUCUUCUUCAAACCCCCACCCAUUGUCCUCUUCUUCUUCAUUCUUUAUUUCAUCACACUUCUUCAUUUUUUAUCACAAUCUUAAAGCACAAUUUUUUUUGAUUCGCAAUUAGGUUAAUUCCCAUAGAUUUGUUAGUGAAUAAUUGUAUUUUAUCUAGAAAAAUUUUGAUUGAUUGUUUCUAUCUUUUUGGACUUUGUUAAAGUAUUUUGGGAAAAUGCAUAAGUACCCCCCAGCCUAUGCCCAAAAUCCCUGAGACACACCUAACCUUUACUAAGGUUCUAUUACCCUCUCGAACUUAAUUUUUAAUUAAUUUUCUACCACUUUUCAGCCUACGUGGCACUAUCCUUGAAAAAAUUGUCAACACACGCUGGGCCCACAAGAUAGUGCCACGUAGGCCGAAAAGGGGUAGAAAAUUAUAUAUAAAAUAAGUUCGGGGGGUAAUAGGACCUUAGUAUAGGUUAAGUGUGUCUCAGGGAUUUUGUGCAUAGUCUGGGGGGUACUUAUGCAUUUUCCCAAGUAUUUUUGGUUGUUAAUCAAUUUUUGGUUUUGGUGGUAAUAGCAGCUUUAUGGGUUUGGUGGUGAUGGGUGGCGGGUGACAAACAUUAAAAGAGGUAAUUAAAGGUGGUGAAAAAUAAAAAAUCGAUAUUGAUAAUGGUGGUGGUGAUAUUUGGUGUUGGGUGACAAAGAAGAAGAAGAAUUGAAGGUUAUAUAGUGGUGGUGAAGAACAAAAUCAAUAGUGAAGGUGGGGCCGGAUAUGAUUUUCCGAUGAAAUGAGAAUUGAAAAUGGGUGGGAUUAGUGAUGAAGAAGAUACAAUUAUUAGAGAAUUAAAUCAAUUAAUUAGGGAUUAGUUAGAGUAGAAUAUAGUUAACAAAAGAAAAGUUAAUUAAUAAAGAAAAGAAAACAAAAAAUUAUAAUUUAUGACAUGACGCUGACGUAGAGCUGAUGUGGCAGCGAGUAUAAUACAUCACAUAAUGUGAUAGUGGUGUUACACGUCUCGGGGUGGUAAUAAAUUCACUUUUGAGUAGUUAAGGUGUGUAAUAGGUCAUCAUGAUAAUUUAAGCGUGUAACUGACUUUUCGGGACAAGUUCAGGGGGAAUCUAUGCCUUUUCCCUUUCUUUUAAAUGUCCUAAUCUAAAAUGAUAUCCAUAUGGAACAUACCUAUAUGUUCCACAAGUUCAAGUAGCUUACAUGUAUCUACCUGCUGAUCAUCUAAUAUAUACCAUCACUACUGCAAACCUUUCAUACUGAUAGUGUCUGUGACACAUAAGUAAAUGUCGAGGAAAUGGUUUAACACAACCUUUUACAAUUUGAAUGGAAGAAAAUGACCCUGCAAAGAUCUCUUACGUGUAAAAACAAAGAAUUAUAGGUAGAUUUGGCAUAAAACUGAAUUGUAAUGAGCCACAAAACCAAUUGACCCAUAUAUGUUAUAAUUGUUUCCUGGGUUUACAUAACAUGACCAAGCUAAUACAACAUUUUUUAUAUGGUCAUUUUAAGCCUUGUGAUCUCUUAAAUUUUCGUAUCAGAUCAAAAAGCACGAGGACAAGAUAUCUUGUUAAUUUUCCUUAUUAGACUUUAUAUUUACAAUGACAGGUAGGUACUGGUGCUCGGUCAGAAAAAAUUCGGACAUACAACUACAAGGUAAUUAAGCCAUAAUGCCUUGAACUGAAAAGUGUGUUAUUCCCCAAAACAAACUUUUGGCAUCCAAUUAAUGAUUAUGAUGGUAUAAUAUCCUACCACAAUCUCAAACUGCAGUUUUGGUUCAUAGAAACAAGUACUUUCACUGAAUAUGGAAAACUUUGAACGUUGUGUUUUUCCUGAUUAUUGCUUUAAAAGUGAUGGUACAAGUGAAGCAUACUCAUGGUUCUGCAUUCUUUUGAAAUAUUCUGACUGGUUCCUACAGUUCUCUUUUAGAUUACCCACCCUUGUGCCCCAUCUUUUCAUCAUUCUGAUCUCUUUUCUCUGAUGUUCACAGGACAAUAGGGUCACUGAUCAUCGGCUAAAAAUGAACUUUCCGCUCAUGACGUUUCUUGAGGGUGACAUCGAGACAGCUGUUCAGGUAUGUUACUUUGCUAAGUAGCUAUUUGGAACCCCUUGGGGGAGGGAAUGGUAAGAAUUCCCAAUAAGACUGUCAUGCUAAUUUCAUCUUUGUGCAGUCUUGUUCUACUUUGGAGCAACAAGAGUUACUGCAAGAACUUGCUGAAUCUGCCAGUGCACCUGCAUGAUAAUUUGAGGCCUUUGUUUUCGCUAGAAGUUCUAUUUUUUUUCCUUCGUGGAACACUUCUCACACAAAUCCCGAUGGGUCCUCGGAUCAGCAUUGUUUAAAUGGACCGUAAGGAUAUCAUUCUUGUUAGAAUUGUUGUAAAUCUAGGAUCAGUACAAAAGAAUGAGGAGAUCUAGUGCUAACCAGGAGCUCUCUCAGAUCCUUUUUUGGAACUUGGCUUCUAAAUGUUACAGAACACUUCAACAAGAAGUUCAUUAUUGAAAAUCAAAGUAAUCCUUGUGCAUAAUUUCUUCAUCAAUCUGAAAAUCAUUAUAAUGCUUGUGCA
rnacentral:lncRNA from 1 species